GAAUUUUUAUACUUAAAAAAGGGGGAUUUUAUGAAACUUUGGUGAAUAUAUUAAUGAAACAUCCCUUUUGAUUUGUAUAUAUAUUUCUAGUUGAUCAUAUAAAUUCAUUUAAAGCAUAAAAGACAAGUUAAAAGAGCAACGGGCGUAUCAUGCGCUAAAGCGCAGCCCUUUAUUAUUCAUGUCCACCCAAAAACCAUAUAUGAUAAUGCUUGCCUUGACCAAACAUUUCUAGUACCCCAUAGGUUUGUCCACUGUCAUAGUAUUAAUAGAUAAAUGGAUGUUUCUUUACAUCAGCUGAUGCCUCAAGUAUUCUUGUCCCAGUAAGAUUUUUUUUACAAAAUGCCCAAUAAAGAAUGCUCCUUUUCAAAUGUUUUUAUAUAGUCAAUUCUUGCUGUCACAAUAUUAUUUUUUUUUUCAUUUAAAAAAAACAUUGUGUGUGCCUUACAAUAAUCCAUUAGCAUCAAAAAUCCAUAUCAGUCCCAAAGACUGAUUUUUGUUUUUAUGCCUCUGACAAUUAUGGCCAUUAUUUUUUUCAGUCUGUGCAACUUUUUGUUAAUUCAUCCGUACUUCAUUUCUUCCAUCAUGUUCAUCUGUCUGUCCUGCUUUAGAUUAAAGUUUUUGGUCAAUGUAGUUUUGAUGAAGAUGAAACUAAUCAACUUGAAACUUAAUAUAGAUGUUCUGUAUGAUAUGAUCUUUCUAAUUUUAAUGCCAAAUUAGAGUUUCGAUCCUUAUUUCACGGUCCACUGAACAUAGAAAAUAAUAGUGUGAGUGGGGCAUCUAUGUCAUGUGUAUGUAAGUUGGGCACAUUCUUGCUUAUUUUUUAAAUAUAUAAAUCCUGGUAUUAACUCUGAUAGAUGAUAGCAUUUAAAACUGUUUUUAAUUAGAUGAAAAAGACAGUUUCCAGAUAAGAUCUGGAUUUAUCCCUCAAUAAAUCUUGCACCUAUGACAAAGCAAAAAGCCAAAUAUGGAAGUACAUGGAUGAUACCAAGGCCUUUUUAUGGAAUCUGUUAUGAAACACCAAAAAAUAAGAAUUAAUUCUAGCUUAUCAAUAUUUAAUGUACAUUGUGAAUAUAAAUAGUAAUAGCAAAAAUCAAAAAAAUGUGUUUUAAUUAUUGGAUUGACCAUCAUGUUGAAUUUUAC
rnacentral:lncRNA from 1 species